rnacentral:rRNA from 1 species
UCUUGGUCAUUUAGAGGAAGUAAAAGUCGUAACAAGGUCUCCGUAGGUGAACCUGCGGAGGGAUCAUUACUGAGUUUUUAACUCUCCAAACCAUGUGAACUUACCACUGUUGCCUCGGUGGUCGGUGCUGGAAACAGUGCUGCCACCGGUGGACUACUAAACUCUUGUUAAUUUUUGUCAAAUCUGAAUCAAACUAAGAAAUAAGUUAAAACUUUCAACAACGGAUCUCUUGGUUCUGGCAUCGAUGAAGAACGCAGCGAAAUGCGAUAAGUAAUGUGAAUUGCAGAAUUCAGUGAAUCAUCGAAUCUUUGAACGCACAUUGCGCCCAUUAGUAUUCUAGUGGGCAUGCCUGUUCGAGCGUCAUUUCAACCCUUAAGCCUAGCUUAGUGUUGGGAGACUGCCUAAUACGCAGCUCCUCAAAACCAGUGGCGGAGUCUGUUUGUGCUCUGAGCGUAGUAAUUUUUUAUCUCGCUUCUGCAAGCCGGCCAGACGACAGCCAUAAACCGCACCCUCUCGGGGGGCACUUUUUUAAUGGUUGACCUCGGAUCAGGUAGGAAUACCCGCUGAACUUAAGCAUAUCAAUAAGCGGAGGA